UACGAAGGGGGCUAGCGUUGCUCGGAAUCACUGGGCGUAAAGGGUGCGUAGGCGGAUUUCUAAGUCAGGGGUGAAAGCCUGAGGCUCAACCUCAGAACUGCCUUUGAUACUGGAAGUCUUGAGACCGGAAGAGGUAAGUGGAACUGCGAGUGUAGAGGUGAAAUUCGUAGAUAUUCGCAAGAACACCAGUGGCGAAGGCGGCUUACUGGUCCGGUUCUGGACGCUGAGGCACGAAAGCGUGGGGAGCAAACAGG
rnacentral:rRNA from 1 species